GAUGAACGCUGGCGGCGUGCCUAAUACAUGCAAGUCGAGCGAACAGACGAGGAGCUUACUCCUCUGACGUUAGCGGCGGACGGGUGAGUAACACGUGGAUAACCUACCUAUAAGACUGGGAUAACUUCGGGAAACCGGAGCUAAUACCGGAUAACAUGUUGAACCGCAUGGUUCAACAGUGAAAGACGGUCUUGCUGUCACUUAUAGAUGGAUCCGCGUCGCAUUAGCUAGUUGGUAAGGUAACGGCUUACCAAGGCAACGAUGCGUAGCCGACCUGAGAGGGUGAUCGGCCGCACUGGAACUGAGACACGGUCCAGACUCCUACGGGAGGCAGCAGUAGGGAAUCUUCCGCAAUGGGCGAAAGCCUGACGGAGCAACGCCGCGUGAGUGAAGAAGGUCUUCGGAUCGUAAAACUCUGUUAUUAGGGAAGAACAAAUGUGUAAGUAACUAUGCACGUCUUGACGGUACCUAAUCAGAAAGCCACGGCUAACUACGUG
rnacentral:rRNA from 1 species